GGUGGGAUACCCAAGCGGUCAACGGGGGCAGACUGUAAAUCUGCUGGCUUACGCCUUCACUGGUUCGAAUCCAGUUCCCACCACCA
rnacentral:tRNA from 3 species